rnacentral:rRNA from 1 species
UACAGAGGUCCCGAGCGUUGUUCGGAUUCACUGGGCGUAAAGGGUGCGUAGGUGGCGAGGUAAGUCGGAUGUGAAAGCUCGGAGCUCAACUCCGAAAUGGCAUUGGAAACUACCUUGCUCGGGGGUUGGAGGGGGGACUGGAAUUCUCGGUGUAGCAGUGAAAUGCGUAGAUAUCGAGAGGAACACCAGUGGCGAAGGCGAGUCCCUGGACAACUCCUGACACUGAGGCACGAAAGCUAGGGGAGCAAACAGG